UACGAAGGGGGCUAGCGUUGCUCGGAAUCACUGGGCGUAAAGCGCACGUAGGCGGAUUGCUAAGUCAGGGGUGAAAUCCUGGAGCUCAACUCCAGAACUGCCUUUGAUACUGAUGAGCUUGAGUCCGGGAGAGGUGAGUGGAACUGCGAGUGUAGAGGUGAAAUUCGUAGAUAUUCGCAAGAACACCAGUGGCGAAGGCGGCUCACUGGCCCGGUACUGACGCUGAGGUGCGAAAGCGUGGGGAGCAAACAGG
rnacentral:rRNA from 1 species